rnacentral:lncRNA from 7 species
UGUAUAGGAAGGAAUUCUGGGGUGAUUAUUGCUGCUUCUACUUUCUGAAGUGAGAUAGAUUGUAAAGCAGGUGCAUCAAAGGCGGACGUCUCUAGAGUGCCAAAGAAGAAUGUAAAGCUGAGCAGUUUCUGCCACAUGUGGAGUUGUACCACCAUGGGCCAGAAUGGAAGGAAAACUGCAGCCAUUAUGAGUGGAAGGCUGAGCUGGGAUGGGUCAGCUGCUGCCUAGAUCAUGAAGGGAAACUUUCCUGCCUCAAAGUGGGAUCGUGACAAGCUAUUUCAGGAAACUAUAGAGGCCGGCAGUCCACUAUAGCAACACAUUUUCAAACAGGCAAAAGCUCUUUACAUGAGCUAUCAUUGAACUGAGACAAACACAUAGCAGUACUGUAUUGCAAGAUGUACCUCUAAUAAUUUGCCUGUCUUUAAUGCCAUCCCUUUAAAGUCCUCUAGAGCACAGUUCUCAGGAUGGGGGGGGAUUCUGCUGUUUUCGAAGUGCUUAGUUUCUAGAUCGACUUUAAGCUAUAUGGCUACAUUAGUGCUCCCCUGGCACAUUAUUUUGCAUCGUAUAUUGUGCACUGUUAUGCAGUUUUUUGGAUAUCACUUGAAGUCAGUCAGGUGGUGAAGUCACAGUACAGUUGCUGUAAUCCUCUAUUUCUUUUAGUACAUGUAACAUUUUCCUUGUCCUGUAAUACUGUAGUAAAACAAGUAUAUCAACUCUAAUAGUAUUUUAUAAGUCAGUCAGAAGGCAUAGAUCUGAACAAAGUUUUGGGAUCAAAUCUGUAACCCAUUUUGUAAGGCUUUACACUCUAUCAUACCUUGAGUCAGCUUCUGGGGUAUUAGAGAAAGAAGAGAAAAUUCCUUUCAUAAAUACUAAUGUGUUCUCAAUGGAAGAAGUCAGCAUUUACAUAAUUGACUUUU